rnacentral:rRNA from 1 species
CACGUAGGGCGCAAGCGUUGUCCGGAAUUAUUGGGCGUAAAGAGCUCGUAGGCGGUCUGUUGCGUCCGCUGUGAAAACCCGGGGCUUAACCCUGGGCUGGCAGUGGAUACGGACAGACUAGAGGUAGGUAGGGGAGAAUGGAAUUCCCGGUGUAGCGGUGAAAUGCGCAGAUAUCGGGAGGAACACCGGUGGCGAAAGCGGCGAGCUGGAUCACUACUGACGCUGAGGAACGAAAGCUAGGGGAGCAAACAGG